AAGCGUGCAGAACAACUUUCAUCUUAGAGGAAGAGGCUGACGUUUGUUGUGGAGUCCCACCCAUAUUCCAGGUAUGGAACUAAGACUGGUCCUCCUUAAUCCCAUCUGAACAUCUAUGAGGUGAGGGCUGUUAUCUUCAUUUUAAGCAAAGAAGCUUACAUCACAGGUGGAGCAGUUUAUCCAAGAACCUCAGUGUAAGUGGUGCAACUGGGAUUUUUUCCCCCAAGUUCUUGAGCUGCAAGUUCCUUUUGCUAGGUCAUUUCUUGAAAACUUAACAAAGAAAUCUUCUCUUGCCUAGCAGAGUCAUCCUCAUCCUCCGUGCUGCUUGGGGGAGACACAAUGGUGCGAAGACAAGAGCAACUGCAGAGGCUCAGGACAUCCUUGUGCUGGCAGACUGAGAGGAUAAGGAAACUGAAGCUCAGAGACUCAUAUAUAGACUAAGCUGGGAUCUCAUAGUGCUUCCUGGGGUUCCAUAGGGCCCCA
rnacentral:lncRNA from 13 species